GAUGAACGCUAGCGGCAGGCCUAAUACAUGCAAGUCGAACGGUAAAUAGAUCAGCAAUGGUCUAUGAGAGUGACGCACGGGUGCGUAACACGUAUGCAACCUACCCUUUACAGGAGUAUAGCUCGGGGGAAACUCGAAUUAACACUUCAUAGUAUAAAUGAAUGGCAUCAUUUGUUUAUUAAAUCUGCGGAGGUAAAGGA
rnacentral:rRNA from 1 species